rnacentral:misc_RNA from 1 species
GAUGAAGAACGUAGUGAAAUGCGAUAAGUAAUGUGAAUUGCAGAAUUCAGUGAAUCAUCGAAUCUUUGAACGCACAUUGCGCCCCCUGGUAUUCCGGGGGGCAUGCCUGUUCGAGCGUCAUUUCACCACUCAAGCCUCGCUUGGUAUUGGGCAACGCGGUCCGCCGCGUGCCUCAAAUCGACCGGCUGGGUCUUCUGUCCCCUAAGCGUUGUGGAAACUAUUCGCUAAAGGGUGUUCGGGAGGCUACGCCGUAAAACAACCCCAUUUCUAAGGUUGACCUCGGAUCAGGUAGGGAUACCCGCUGAACUUAAGCAUAUCAAUAAGCGGAGA